AAUUCGCCCUUAGAGUUUGAUCCUGGCUCAGAUUGAACGCUGGCGGCAUGCCUUACACAUGCAAGUCGAACGGUAACGCGGGGCAACCUGGCGACGAGUGGCGAACGGGUGAGUAAUAUAUCGGAACGUGCCCAGUCGUGGGGGAUAACUGCUCGAAAGAGCAGCUAAUACCGCAUACGACCUGAGGGUGAAAGCGGGGGAUCUUCGGACCUCGCGCGAUUGGAGCGGCCGAUAUCAGAUUAGGUAGUUGGUGGGGUAAAGGCCUACCAAGCCGACGAUCUGUAGCUGGUCUGAGAGGACGACCAGCCACACUGGGACUGAGACACGGCCCAGACUCCUACGGGAGGCAGCAGUGGGGAAUUUUGGACAAUGGGGGCAACCCUGAUCCAGCCAUGCCGCGUGCGGGAAGAAGGCCUUCGGGUUGUAAACCGCUUUUGUCAGGGAAGAAAUCCUUUGGGCUAAUAACUCGGAGGGAUGACGGUA
rnacentral:rRNA from 1 species